rnacentral:rRNA from 1 species
CAGCCGCCGCGGGAAUACGUAGGUGGCAAGCGUUAUCCGGAAUUAUUGGGCGUAAAGCGCGCGUAGGCGGUUUUUUAAGUCUGAUGUGAAAGCCCACGGCUCAACCGUGGAGGGUCAUUGGAAACUGGAAAACUUGAGUGCAGAAGAGGAAAGUGGAAUUCCAUGUGUAGCGGUGAAAUGCGCAGAGAUAUGGAGGAACACCAGUGGCGAAGGCGACUUUCUGGUCUGUAACUGACGCUGAUGUGCGAAAGCGUGGGGAUCAAACAGGAUUAGAUACCCCUGUAGUCCCUGUCUCUUAUAA